rnacentral:RNase_P_RNA from 1 species
UAAGUCAGUCAGACGGUCGCAUCGCAAGAUGAGGAAAGUCCGAGCACCACAGGGUAAGGCGGCAGGUAACUCCUGCUGAAGGCGACUUCAAGGAAAGUGCAACAGAAAAGUACCGCGCGGCUAAAGCCGCGUAAGGGUGAAAAGGUGAGGUAAGAGCUCACCGGCAGUUCGGCGACGAAAUUGGCCGUGUAAACCCCGCCCGGUGCAAGAGAAAAGAGCCUAUGGAUGACCCGUCCGGCUCCUUAAUCGCUUGAACGCAUAGGCGACUAUGCGUCUAGACAGAUGACCGUCAGAUACAGAACUCGGCUUACAGACUGGCUUAGCAC